rnacentral:rRNA from 1 species
UACGUAGGGGGCAAGCGUUGUCCGGAAUCAUUGGGCGUAAAGCGCGCGUAGGUGGCUUCGUAAGUCCGUUGUGAAAGUCAAAGGCUCAACCUUUGAAUGCCGAUGGAUACUGCGAAGCUAGAGUACGGAAGAGGCGAGUGGAAUUCCUGGUGUAGCGGUGGAAUGCGCAGAUAUCAGGAGGAACACCAAUAGCGAAGGCAGCUCGCUGGGACGUUACUGACACUAAGGCGCGAAAGCGUGGGGAGCGAACAGG